UCGAACGAAUCUCUGGGGGCUUGCUCCCAGAGGAAAGUGGCGAAAGGGGCAGUAAGGCGUGGGUAACCUACCUCGGGGACCGGGAUAGCCCUCCUAACGGAGGGGUAAUACCGGGCGAUGUCGUUGAGGCGCAUGUUUCGACGAUGAGAUGAAUUUCGCCUCGAGCGGGGCUCACGUGGUAUUAGCUUGUUGGUGAGGUAACGGCUCACCAAGGCCAAGAUGCCUAGCGGGUGUGAGAGCACGACCCGCGCCACUGGCACUGAGACACUGGCCAGACUCCUACGGGAGGCUGCAGUCGAGGAUCUUCGGCAAUGGGCGCAAGCCUGACCGAGCGACGCCGCGUGUGCGAUGAAGGCCUUCGGGUUGUAAAGCACUGUCGAGGGGGAGGAAAGCCGCAAGGUCUGACCUAUCCCUGGAGGAAGCACGGGCUAAGUUCGUGCCAGCAGCCGCGGUAAGACGAACCGUGCGAACGUUGUUCGGAAUCACUGGGCUUAAAGGGCGCGUANGCGGGCUGUCAAGUCCGGGGUGAAAUCU
rnacentral:rRNA from 1 species